rnacentral:rRNA from 1 species
UACGAAGGGGGCUAGCGUUGCUCGGAAUCACUGGGCGUAAAGGGUGCGUAGGCGGGUCUUUUAAGUCAGGGGUGAAAUCCUGGAGCUCAACUCCAGAACUGCCUUUGAUACUGAAGGUCUUGAGUUCGGGAGAGGUGAGUGGAACUGCGAGUGUAGAGGUGAAAUUCGUAGAUAUUCGCAAGAACACCAGUGGCGAAGGCGGCUCACUGGCCCGAUACUGACGCUGAGGCACGAAAGCGUGGGGAGCGAACGAGG